rnacentral:lncRNA from 1 species
UCUCAAUCUUGUUCCCUGUGUGAAUUUUCAUUGGAGACUGGACAAUUGGACAGUUAUGAAUUGCAAAUCGUGUUUAUUGGAGUUCAUGAAAGGCAAAGUUUACAGAAUUCAACAAAGGUAUAAUUUCUAUCACACUUUCUAUCUAAAUAGAAAACCGAUCAUUGGUAGAAAUUGAAAUUUUAUUUAAAUUCUGCUAUGCAUGGUUAAGUAAAUUUCCAAUAUGGUAAACUAUAAGUAUGUUUUAACCACACCAAACUUUAGGUAGCAUCACGUUUUACUCACUGUACUUUAACUUGCAUUACAUUACUCACUGAACUUUAUACCGUUGCACUCCAUUACUCACCAAGUAACUCCCGUCAUUAACCACUGCACACAUGGAUGAUGGAUUUUACAGCUAGCAGUUAAAUGCCAUGUAAUUUCUCCUAAACGUGCCUCACCCGAAAAUCAAUUGACAUCAUGAGAUGAAACCCUUAUGUCAAAUGCAUGACCUCCAUCAGCCAUUGCAGAAACACCUCCCAAAUCUCAAAAUUCGGAAUCGCCUUGAACCCUAAUCCCCACUUCAAAUUUGAUCCACAAUCAACGGACCUCGAAGCGUGGUUGUUGAAACCGUAGACAUGAAUAGAGCACCUCAGUUUGUUGACACUCGAAUUGAAAUGGGUUCCAAUUUUUGAAGUACAUUUCAUUUUUCUUACAACUUAAGAAAAAUGAAAUGAACUUCGAAAAUUGGAACACAUUUCAAUCCAAGUGUUAGCAAACAAAGGUGCUCUAUCAAUGUCUACGAUUUCAACAAUCACGCUUUAAAUGAACUUCGAAAAUUGGAACACAUUUCAAUUCGAGUGUUAGCAAACAAAGGUGCUCUAUCAAUGUCUACGAUUUCAACAAUCACGCUUUGAGGUCCAUCAAUUGUGGAUCGAAUUCGAAUUGGGGGUUGGGGUUCAAGGUGAUUUCGGAUUUUGAGAUUUGGAAGGUGUAUCUGCAAUGGGUGAUGGAGGUCGUUCAUUUGACACGAGGGUUUUAUCUCACAACUUCAAUUGUUUUUUGGGCGAGGCGUGUUUCUUUGGUGUUCGGGAAAAAUGACAUGGCAUUUAACUGCCACCUGUAAAAUCCGUCCUCCAUUUGUGCAGUAAUUAAUGAUGGGAACGAGUGCAACGGUAUAAAGUUCAGUGAGUAAUGGAGUCAGUGGCGGAUCUAGGUCAUGGCGAGCUAGGGCGAUCUGCCAGAGUUUUCAAUAGCCGUCAGGACCACCGAAUUGGAGUUGCAAUCUCCAAGUAUUUUUGGGUGCUGUUAUUGUUGUAUCUACAUAAAAUGAACAGGCAUGUAUACAUACACAAAACACACAGAGAGAAAACUCACCAUUUUUUAUUUUCUUGGGCUUGUUGAUGGGUAGCAGAUCCUUGCCAUUAGAGGAAUUAAAGCCCCGGAACUCACAAAUUGUAUCAAAUUCAGCCCAUAAUUCUUCUAUGGUUAAUUUUCCUCUCUUAUUGAUGAUGGGUUCAGGAAAUAAUUGCAUUUUGUGUAUGUGUUCAGUUCUUGAGAUUUGAGAAGAUGAUAGAUACAGAAAGAAAUGUGUAUGUCAGUAUGAGUAGGUCGUUG